rnacentral:rRNA from 1 species
CAGCACCUCAAGUGGUCAGGAUGAUUAUUGGGCCUAAAGCAUCCGUAGCCGGCUCUGUAAGUUUUCGGUUAAAUCUGUACGCUCAACGUACAGGCUGCCGGGAAUACUGCAGAGCUAGGGAGUGGGAGAGGUAGACGGUACUCGGUAGGAAGGGGUAAAAUCCUUUGAUCUAUUGAUGACCACCUGUGGCGAAGGCGGUCUACCAGAACACGUUCGACGGUGAGGGAUGAAAGCUGGGGGAGCAAACCGGAUUAGAUACCCGAGUAGUCC